GUCGAUAGGCAUUUAUUCUACUGUUCAAGGAAAACAAAUAAGGGUGCAGCUUAGGCGAAAAGAAAAACAUCUUAUUGCCAGUGUCUAAACUCCAACGGAAUGUGUCUGAGACCGUGUGUAUGGAUACACGUGUACUUGAAUCAACCCCGCCUGUGUGUACAGCUCUUGCUGUUAAGUCAACGCUUUACCGGAGCUAUCGCACUUAAGCCUCAGAACAACUUUAUGAGGUCUACUUCUAACAGGCUUGUUUAUAUGCAUUCUUAUUCUAUCCUGGAUUGGAAUCAGAAAAUUGGACAGUGUUGCAGGUUCUGACUGAUGCAGGCACACUGACAGUGAUGAAAGUGAGAACUGUGAUUCUACUUGAAAGGAAUGGAGGAGAGCAGAACCUUCAGUGUCCUCUGAUGUACAACUCCAGUGGGCAACAUUUACAUUGUAAUGUAUGUAAAUGACAUUUCCUGAAGCACAAUUAAGAGGCUACAGAAUGUAUCUUCCAGGAGGGCAGGCCUAUACCUUUUUGCUUACUCCAACUCCCUUCUAGCAAGUGUUUGACACAUAAAAGAUGUUCAGUAAGUACUGAUAAAGAUGGGGAGUGAAGGCUGAUCACAAAAUUUUCCUGCCCAAAUACUUUACAAAAUAGUUUGCGCGAAAAAAAGAACAGUAAAAACUCCUUUAAAAACCUUACCAGGGACUUCCCCGGUGGCGCAGUGGUUAGGAAUCUGCCUGCCAAUGCAGGGGACACAGG